rnacentral:rRNA from 1 species
UUCCGGUUGAUCCUGCCGGAGGUCACUGCUAUUGGGGUCCGGCUAAGCCAUGCGAGCGGAGGGUGCGGUCGAAAGAUCGUGGCCCCGCACACGGCUCAGUAACACGUAGUCAACCUACCCUUGGGACGGGGACAACCUCGGGAAACUGAGGCUAAUCCCCGAUAGGCGGGGGACGCUGGGAUGCCUCCUCGCCCAAAGCUCCGGCGCCCGAGGAUGGGACUGCGGCCUAUCAGGCUGUUGGUGGUGUAACGGACCACCAAACCUACGACGGGUACGGGCGAUGGGAGUCGGAGCCUGGAGAUGGGGACUGAGACAAGGCCCCAGGCCCUACGGGGCGCAGCAGGCGCGAAAACUCCGCAAUGCGCGCAAGCGUGACGGGGGGACCCCAAGUGCCGUUGGUCUUUCGAUCGACGGUUUUUAGGAAGUCUAAGCAGCUUCCAGAAUAAGGGCUGGGCAAGACUGGUGCCAGCCGCCGCGGUAACACCAGCAGCCCAAGUGGUGGCCACGAUUAUUGGGCCUAAAGCGCUCGUAGCCGGAUCAAUAAGUCCCUUGUGAAAUCGGGCCGCCCAACGGUUCGGCGUGCAAGGGAUACUGUUGGUCUUGAGGCCGGGAGAGGUCGGAGGUACUCCUGGGGUAGCGGUGAAAUGCUCUAAUCCUAGGGGGACCACCAGUGGCGAAGGCGUCCGACCAGAACGGACCUGACGGUGAGGGGCGAAGGCUAGGGGAGCGAACGGGAUUAGAUACCCCGGUAGUCCUAGCUGUAAAGCAUGCGGGCCAGGUGUCUAGCGCUCCUUGAGGGCGCUAUGUGCCGGAGGGAAGCCGUUAAGCCCGCCGCCUGGGAAGUACGGUCGCAAGGCUGAAACUUAAAGAAAUUGGCGGGGGAGCACCACAAGAGGUGGGACCUGCGGUUCAAUUGGAUUCAACGCCGGA